GGAAGCAGAAGCAGUGGAUGUUUUUGGCGAGUUAGAUCUGAAUGCAUUAAAAAUAACUUCUUAAACUCAUUUGUUGCUUUUCUUUUAUGAGUGUACAUCCAAGAAAGUUGAUGAAUCAAUAACAAGACUGUUGAUGUUUAUAGUUUACAGUGUGGUAAACAUGUCAGAGCACGCUCAGCGGGGAGUUCGGAGAUGAGGGAAUUAAAGCGUGAGGACGGUGUGUCAGGUUGUUGUGGGUACUGAGCCGAGCUGUUGGCUAAGCACGAGGAGAAGCAUGUGGAUGCGCUGACAGGCAGGCAGACAGGUUAGACGGCAAGGAGGCGGAAAUUUGUUGAACAGGGGGAAGGCUGGUAGGCACAUAAAAACAAAAUCAGAAGAAAACCUGUAGGGGGCCCUCAGUACACGAGGAAGACUGUGAGACAGGCGGACUGACAUACAGUAGACAAGAUGAGAGACAGGCGAGCGCAUUGUAAACAGGGCGUUUAAAAGGCUCUUUUGUUGGAGUGACUCAUCCAUCCUCGUGGCAGGAGCAGGUGGAGGCAGGUGAGGAAAGAUUUGCUGCUUAAAACUGGCAGAGGCACCGACGACGAGCUCGCAACGCUGCAGUGACGCCGAGGCAGAAAAAUGUUCUAAUAUCACGGAGGACGCCUUCGACACGCGGGCACAUGUGCAGCCGUGGUCCCCAUGGUUCCCAUCCCGUCUUCAAACAGCAGCCACACCCAGGCCUGUGUGGAAGAUGACCCUGCCGCAGAGGCAACAAAGUGGCUUUUAACAUGGACACAGGGAGAGGAAGAUGUAUGUUCAUUUAUUGACACAGAUGAGAGAGGAAGAUAUGAGAACCGAGUGGCCUCUCCGCCUCCAGCUGGUGCCCGCAGCUCGCACCAAUCAUACCGGGCGGGACACUUCCACGAUAUUGUAUUUCAUACCAGAUAAUGUGAUUCACAAUGAAGGCGGUUGUUCGAUUGCAUGACGACAAUUAAAGAAACAUGCCGCGAAAGUUUAAGCUGAAA